UCUCUCUUUUUCUUUCUUUGUCCUGUUUUGCUAGGAAAAAUCGAGAGGAAGAAGAAACAGAGCACGGGAUAGAGAGAGAGAGAGAGGGAGAGAGAGAGGUGUCGAGAUGACAAGGAAGAGCUGGACUUUGCUUUGUGGUUCGAUUGUCGACCAAUUUCAGCCCACACUGUGAGCUUUCCAGAGACUCCAAGAUUGUGGUAUUCGGAGUUAUAUAGAGAGAGAACCGAACUUCUGAAGUUGGGCCAUCGCACAGCUCGGGUCUGUUCUGUAACAGCCCGCACCAGCAACUUCGGGAGGCUCGUCAGGCUCGCUCAGACAUCAGAUUGUAGCGAUUUUUAUAAACUUCUAGCUGCGCGAAAGAACCACUUCUUGAUAUCGGAAGUCAGCUCGGAGAACUAGGUAGAGACCUUAGUUAUUUGAUAGGUAUUUGUUUUUUGCAUAGAAUGUAUUUGAAUAUACUACGACCUGGGACUUUUGUGUAGUUGGUUUAGAGUUAUGGGUGAAAAGGACAAUACUCUCUUUGAGAUGUAUAUGCAUAUUAGAGCUUGCUGGGUUGGAUAUAUAUAUAUAUAUAUAUAUACAUUUUUGGGACAUUUGGAAAGUAGGUUUUGAUGUGAAUAGUUUGUGUGAUAUGGGAUAUCGACAAAAUUUAACGGAAGUUCUGCCGAAA